rnacentral:rRNA from 1 species
GUGGGGAAUAUUGGACAAUGGGCGCAAGCCUGAUCCAGCCAUGCCUCGUGAGUGAUGAAGGCCCUAGGGUUGUAAAGCUCUUUCAGUGGGGACGAUAAUGACGGUACCCACAGAAGAAGCCCCGGCUAACUUCGUGCCAGCAGCCGCGGUAAUACGAAGGGGGCUAGCGUUGUUCGGAUUUACUGGGCGUAAAGCGCACGUAGGCGGAUCGUUAAGUCGAGGGUGAAAUCCUGGAGCUCAACUCCAGAACUGCCUUCAAUACUGGCGAUCUUGAGUCCGGAAGAGGUGAGUGCAACUCCUAGUGUAGAGGUGGAAUUCGUAGAUAUUAGGAAGAACACCAGUGGCGAAGGCGGCUCACUGGUCCGGUACUGACGCUGAGGUGCGAAAGCGUGGGGAGCAAACAGGAUUAGAAACCCCAGUAGUCC